AGGAGCCGUGCGAGAUGAAAGUCUCAUGCACGGUUUUGCAUGAGAGAAAGAAGCGAGGAAUUGAUGAGGACAUGACUACCUUGGAUACGACCAAAAAUAUUGCAUACAUGCAUAUUUGUCAGGUGAUUUCUAGUGCAAACUAUUCAAU
rnacentral:ncRNA from 1 species